UGUCGGUGUCCAACGCAUACUUCACCCUGAUUUGCCCAGAAAUCUCAGGGGACGCACCCUAAAGUGGAGUAAGCUGGAAUUGUCAACCAUAAAGACCAAGACCUCCUGCAGUCCUUUCUUCAAAGAGCUCCAGUUGGCCUUUCAGUCUGUCAUGUCCAGGCUAGCCAGUCAAGCCUAUGCAAGCACUAUGCCAGCCACGGGACUGUGGCCUACCCCCAUAAGCUGCUGAUGACCAGAUAUCUUUGCCUAAGGGAUAAAAACACAUCAGAAUCUACUGAGACAAUUCACACUUCUGCAUAAAGACACACUUUCCCAAGUCAGCAGAGUUUCUGGACCCCCCCCC